AUGUAUUCCAGAAAGGCCCUAUAC
rnacentral:piRNA from 1 species